rnacentral:rRNA from 2 species
AGACCCGAAACCCGGUGAUCUAGCCAUGGGCAGGUUGAAGGUUGGGUAACACUAACUGGAGGACCGAACCGACUAAUGUUGAAAAAUUAGCGGAUGACCUGUGGCUGGGGGUGAAAGGCCAAUCAAACCGGGAGAUAGCUGGUUCUCCCCGAAAGCUAUUUAGGUAGCGCCUCGUGAAUUCAUCUCCGGGGGUAGAGCACUGUUUCGGCUAGGGGGCCAUCCCGGCUUACCAACCCGAUGCAAACUGCGAAUACCGGAGAAUGUUAUCACGGGAGACACACGGCGGGUGCUAACGUCCGUCGUGAAGAGGGAAACAACCCAGACCGCCAGCUAAGGUCCCAAAGUCAUGGUUAAGUGGGAAACGAUGUGGGAAGGCCCAGACAGCCAGGAUGUUGGCUUAGAAGCAGCCAUCAUUUAAAGAAAGCGUAAUAGCUCACUGGUCGAGUCGGCCUGCGCGGAAGAUGUAACGGGGCUAAACCAUGCACCGAAGCUGCGGCAGCGAACGUAUCACCCAAGACAACUUUACGGAGUUGACGAUUGACGGAGCGAAGCGACGUCAAAGCGUUCAUUAAAGUCGAGUUGGCUUAGGGAUACGUUCGUUGGGUAGGGGAGCGUUCUGUAAGCCUGUGAAGGUGUGUCGUGAGGCAUGCUGGAGGUAUCAGAAGUGCGAAUGCUGACAUAAGUAACGAUAAAGCGGGUGAAAAGCCCGCUCGCCGGAAGACCAAGGGUUCCUGUCCAACGUUAAUCGGGGCAGGGUGAGUCGACCCCUAAGGCGAGGCCGAAAGGCGUAGUCGAUGGGAAACGGGUUAAU